rnacentral:rRNA from 1 species
CACGUAGGGCGCAAGCGUUGUCCGGAAUUAUUGGGCGUAAAGAGCUCGUAGGCGGACUGUUGCGUCCGCUGUGAAAAGCUGGGGCUUAACCCUGGCCUUGCAGUGGAUACGGGCAGACUAGAGGGUAGGUAGGGGAGAAUGGAAUUCCCGGUGUAGCGGUGAAAUGCGCAGAUAUCGGGAGGAACACCGGUGGCGAAGGCGGUUCU